rnacentral:rRNA from 1 species
GUUGACCUCGGAUCAUGUAGGACUACCCGCUGAACUUAAGCAUAUCAAUAAGCGGAGGAAAAGAAACCAACAGGGAUUGCCCCAGUAACGGCGAGUGAAGCGGCAACAGCUCAAAUUUGAAAUCUGGCCCCAGGCCCGAGUUGUAAUUUGCAGAGGAUGCUUUUGGCGCGGUGCCUUCCGAGUUCCCUGGAACGGGACGCCAUAGAGGGUGAGAGCCCCGUACGGUUGGACACCAAGCCUUUGUAAAGCUCCUUCGACGAGUCGAGUAGUUUGGGAAUGCUGCUCUAAAUGGGAGGUACAUUUCUUCUAAAGCUAAAUAUUGGCCAGAGACCGAUAGCGCACAAGUAGAGUGAUCGAAAGAUGAAAAGCACUUUGAAAAGAGGGUUAAACAGCACGUGAAAUUGUUAAAAGGGAAGCGCUUGUGACCAGACUUGCGUCCGGUGAAUCACCCAGCUCUCGCGGCUGGGGCACUUCGCCGGCACAGGCCAGCAUCAGCUUGCCGUCGGGGACAAAAGCUUCAGGAACGUGGCUCCUCUCGGGGAGUGUUAUAGCCUGUUGCAUAAUACCCUUCGGCGGGCUGAGGUACGCGCUCCGCAAGGAUGUUGCCGAUAUGGUCAUCAGCGAC